GCCUACCACCAUCUCACCCUGAAUGCGCCCGAUCUCGUCUGAUCUCGGAAGCUAAGCAGAGUCGAGCCUGGUUAGUACUUGGAUGGGAAACAGCCUGGGAAUACCAGGUGUUGUAGGCU
rnacentral:rRNA from 1 species